CAGUAGCCGCGGUAAUACGAAGGGGGCUAGCGUUGUUCGGAUUUACUGGGCGUAAAGCGCACGUAGGCGGAUCGAUCAGUCAGGGGUGAAAUCCUGGAGCUCAACUCCAGAACUGCCUUUGAUACUGUCGAUCUCGAGUCCGGAAGAGGUGAGUGGAACUCCUAGUGUAGAGGUGGAAUUCGUAGAUAUUAGGAAGAACACCAGUGACGAAGGCGGCUCACUGGUCCGGUACUGACGCUGAGGUGCGAAAGCGUGGGGAGCAAACAGGAUUAGAGACCCGUGUAGUCCCUGUCUCUUAUAC
rnacentral:rRNA from 1 species